GUCGAGCGGCGGACGGGUGAGUAAUGCCUAGGAAAUUGCCCUGAUGUGGGGGAUAACCAUUGGAAACGAUGGCUAAUACCGCAUAAUGCCUACGGGCCAAAGAGGGGGACCUUCGGGCCUCUCGCGUCAGGAUAUGCCUAGGUGGGAUUAGCUAGUUGGUGAGGUAAGGGCUCACCAAGGCGACGAUCCCUAGCUGGUCUGAGAGGAUGAUCAGCCACACUGGAACUGAGACACGGUCCAGACUCCUACGGGAGGCAGCAGUGGGGAAUAUUGCACAAUGGGCGCAAGCCUGAUGCAGCCAUGCCGCGUGUGUGAAGAAGGCCUUCGGGUUGUAAAGCACUUUCAGUCGUGAGGAAGGUAGUGUAGUUAAUAGCUGCAUUAUUUGACGUUAGCGACAGAAGAAGCACCGGCUAACUCCGUGCCAGCAGCCGCGGUAAUACGGAGGGUGCGAGCGUUAAUCGGAAUUACUGGGCGUAAAGCGCAUGCAGGUGGUUUGUUAAGUCAGAUGUGAAAGCCCGGGGCUCAACCUCGGAAUUGCAUUUGAAACUGGCAGACUAGAGUACUGUAGAGGGGGGUAGAAUUUCAGGUGUAGCGGUGAAAUGCGUAGAGAUCUGAAGGAAUACCGGUGGCGAAGGCGGCCCCCUGGACAGAUACUGACACUCAGAUGCGAAAGCGUGGGGAGCAAACAGGAUUAGAUACCCUGGUAGUCCACGCCGUAAACGAUGUCUACUUGGAGGUUGUGGCCUUGAGCCGUGGCUUUCGGAGCUAACGCGUUAAGUAGACCGCCUGGGGAGUACGGUCGCAAGAUUAAAACUCAAAUGAAUUGACGGGGGCCCGCACAAGCGGUGGAGCAUGUGGUUUAAUUCGAUGCAACGCGAAGAACCUUACCUACUCUUGACAUCCAGAGAACUUUCCAGAGAUGGAUUGGUGCC
rnacentral:rRNA from 1 species